CAGGCAACGACCCGAAGGGCGAAGCGCGCAGCGCUGAGUAAUCCUUCCCCCACCACCA
rnacentral:sRNA from 10 species